UAUGGCUUGAAGAGUGAGCCGAACUGGCCCGGAGCAGAACCACACACAGCACCUGUUACCUCAGGACUCCAGGGGCCUCAGGGACUUACUUCCCACACCACCCCAGCGGGAGAGCAUUUCCAGCCAGGGUGUCCUCCUGAGAACCUGACGUACAGCUUGUGUUGAGAAGCAGCCGUGAAUCAGCUGGGCCCUUACCUAGGUUAAGUCAGCCUCCCGGCCAGCACGCCUGACACCCCUCCCAGGCACCCGCAGGACUCCGCGCCCCAGAGGCAGCCUGCAGCCUGCCUUCCACUACUGUCAGGCAGAGGCCCAGCUUAGCUGAGGGCACACUCAGUUGGCCUCUGCAGGUGGGAAAGCAGCAGGGACCCGGGUCCACACUCACGUUGGUGAUCACGCGCAGCCUCCGGAUGUAGGAGACCUCUGUGUGCAGGAGUUCCCACACUGCCUCCUGUUGGUGGCACUGCCGCCGGGACAGCUUCUACAGGAGAGGCAGGACAGGAACACAGAGAUCUGGAGGGGAGGCCACCCUCCCCAUUAUGUGGAUUGUGACUGUCAAGAUCUCCAAGGUACGGGCUGGAGAGAUGGCUCAGCAGUGGCUGCUCUUCCAGAGGUCCUGAGUUCAAUUCCCAGCAACCACAUGGUGGCUCACAACCAUCUGUAGUGAGAUCUGGUGCCCUCUUCUGGCAUAAA